rnacentral:rRNA from 1 species
GAUGAACGCUGGCGGCGUGCCUAAUACAUGCAAGUCGAGCGAAGCGGGGACGGGUGAGUAACACGUGGAUAACCUCCUUUAAGACUGGGAUAACUUCGGGAAACCGGAGCUAAACCGGAUACUUAGACAUGGAUCCUAUCUGCAUUAGCUUGUUGGUAAGGUAACGGCUUACCAAGGCAACGAUGCAUAGCCGACCUGAGAGGGUGAUCGGCCACACGGGAACUGAGACACGGUCCAGACGCCUACGGGAGGCAGCAGUAGGGAAUCUUCCGCAAUGGGCGAAAGCCUGACGGAGCAACGCCGCGUGAGUGAUGAAGGUUUUAGGAUCGUAAAAUGCUGUUAUUAGGGAAGCGGUACCUAAUCAGAAAGCCACGGCUAACUACGUGCCAGCAGCCGCGGUAAUAC